AACCUUUCUUCCCCAACCCCUCGCGACCCGACUUCCCUCUCUUCUCUGUUCUCUCUCGCGGACGAUCAACGCCGACGGAGCAAGGCUUCAGCUCCGGCGAUCUUUUCUCUGCCGGCAUCGACCCUUAAGCUCAGAUCCAGCCGAAGCCCUUCUCCUUCUCAGUCCGAUCUCUCUCUUCUCUCACGUGGAAGAUCCGACGCACCCGACGCCGACAGAGGGCAACUGCUUUCCGACGAUCUGGGCCUCUUCGCGUCGCCUGAGGACGGUCGCCGGAUUCUUGAAGGUGCCGACGCUGUCCAAGCUCUUCCGAUGGAGCGAUCCCUUCCUCGGCCGGUUCUUACGCGUGAGCGACGAUGGCUAGGUGGCUAGGGCAUGGUGGAGGGCUUGGUUUUGGUUGUUUCCAACAGAUUGACCCUUCGUUUCCUCCUUCUUGAGUUGUUCACAUAACGAUCUGUGGCUCCUCAAAGUGUAUCGGAUUGGGCGAUACCUUCUGGAGACAACCGAUUGAGGGAGGUGUUCUUGAGCUGCCGGGAAGAGGCUAGAAGGAUGGUUAAUUGAUCAGUGAUCUCCCUGCUUGACCUCCUGUUGUGAUCCGAUUGAUUCCAAUGAGGUUGAGUGCUGUGGAUCAACAAGCACGACUGUGAGGUGAGGUUCUGUGUACUGUAGGUGUUCUUGGUUCUGCUCUACUUGUUCCAGCAUCAACAGUAGCUUUGAUUUGAGUGUUUGGUCUUGCAUUGUGAUGGCGUCUGAGUGUUGGCUUGGUCUCUGUUGGCUUGCUACAUAUCUAGAAAGCUCCAUGAUUUGUGCUAAGCUGAAGCGUAUCCAAUUUGGAUUUUCCAGCUCAAAAUAUCAGUAGAUUUGUUGUGGUAGUGCCUUAACAGGAUUUGAGACUUCUCCAUUCAGGAAAAGACAAGUCCGGUAGAUACAAAAAUUACAAGAUUGCAAGUUUGGAUUGAAGGUCACAAGAAAAAAAAUGGGGAGCCUAGUACUCAAGCUGUUGGAGAGACAAUAGUCAGCAUGUCCACUCAUUUUAGAUUCCUUUAGUAUUUUAUUUCACUGGUCUUAUUUUUCAUAAGAAUUUAUACUUAAGAUCUCUAUUUAUACAGCCUAAAAUGUUUUUUCUGUACCUCCUUGUACAUGUGUUCAAGCUGUUUUUUACUUGUGAGUUGGUACAUGUGUUCAAUUUCAGGUGGACCUAAUUCGACCAAAUGAUGAAAUGCAGUUUCUCGAUGAUGCAAUAGGAAGCACGGUCGCAUGGUUAUCUAAAUUUAUAGUAUUGUGUGAUUAAUACAUAUUAUACUAAUUUGUUUGGAUUGUAAGUUGAAUUGUUGUUAUGUAAUUGCUAGUUUGUUAGAGAUUUCAUAUAUUGUUUUA